GACGAACGCUGGCGGCGUGCUUAACACAUGCCAGUCGAACGGAAAGGCCCUGCUUGCAGUGUACUCGAGUGGAGAACGGGUGAGUAACACGUGGGUGAUCUGCCCUGCACUUCGAGAUAAGCCUGUUAAACUGGUACUAAUACCGGAUAGGUGACAUUUUUAGUGUGAUGGUUGGAAAGUUUUAUCGGUGUAGGAUGAGGUGGCGGCCUAUCAGCUUGUUGGUGGGGUAAUGGCGUACCACGACGGCGACGGGUCGCCGGCCUGAGAGGGUGGACUGCCACAAUGAGACUUAGGUGCGGCCCAGACACCUAAGUGAGGCAGCAGUGGGGAAUAUUGAGCAAUGGACGCAAGCCUGAUGCAGAGAAGCCGCGUGGGGGAUGACGGCCUUAGGGUUGUAAACUCGGUUCGCUAGGGACGAGGCGUUUUGUGACGGUACCUAGAUGAGAAGCAACGGCUAGCUACGUG
rnacentral:rRNA from 1 species